rnacentral:rRNA from 1 species
CCCUUAGAUGUUCUGGGCCGCACGCGCGCUACACUGACCAGUGCAACAAGCAUCCGUCCUUGGCCGACAGGCCCGGGCAAUCUUUGAACGCUGGUCGUGAUGGGGAUAGACUUUUGCAAUUUUUGGUCUUCAACGAGGAAUUCCAAGUAAACGCAAGUCAUCAACUUGCAUUGAUUACGUCCCUGCCCUUUGUACACACCGCCCGUCGCACCUACCGAUUGAAUGGUCCGGUGAAGCCUCCGGAUUGGCGCGCACCUCGGUGCCGCCGAGAAGUUGGCUAAACCUUACCAUUUAGAGGAAGGUGAAGUCGUAACA